GGGGUUUGGUUUGUAGACCUGUUUUGACCCUGUUCACUUGACUUUGGCUAGUUGGAGCCUGAUUGAGCUCGACAGAGAUACGCUGCAUAUCGUUGGGUAGCGCCACGAGUGCCACUCCGGAGUCAGGCUUUGUGCUUUCGCGUUUGUGUCGCUCAUGCCAGUUGGACUUGCUCUCCACGGACACAGUUAGUGUGGAUAGAGCCCGAUAGUCGCAACGGCAGGACGGAUGUAUUCACAGUCCGGGGACGGGUAUGCUUACAGUCCCGGUUGGUGGUCAGAUUUGACAUUUCUACAGUUGGUUAGUGUAGAGCAGAUGUGUAGUGAUCGAUAGCGGUAGAGUUACUUCAUGCUUUUCUGACUACUCUCGCUCCCUUCUGUAGACUUAGUGGGUGGACCGAUGUUGUUUUGGGCGGUACCCACUGAGGACUACUUCUUUUUACAGUAGUUCUCCACGCCCAGUUGUUAUCCAUGUUUUUGCAGAGCACAGUUUCGGCUGCUGCGCUUCUCGCGGAUCACGAUCGAGGCAAGGGCGUCGCGAGUUAGAGCCUACCCAUCGUCUGAGCUAGAGAUGCCCUACUGCAGGUAGAUGUUUUGUUUCGAGUUUCUGUACAUAGUAGACUUAACUCGCCAGUGCGAGUAGCUCUGUAUUUUGGAUUUGGACUAUGUAUACGAAACUCAGUUUGUUUAGCUUCUGUUUUCUCUAGCAGCUCUCUACUACUGUUCGUAGUAGUGUUUGAUUUACAGGUACACUGUCGCUUCGUAUACAGAAAAAUUUCUUUGUAUACGGCGGAUUUGUCGCGUGCCCGGGGAACGGGACAUCCGCGGGCGUGACAGUGUCGCGUAUUUUGGAUUUGGACCAUGAAUACGAAACUCAUUUGUUUAGCUCUGUUCUCUAGCUCUCUAACUACUUUACUGUCGUAGUCGUGUUUGAUUUACAGGUAAGCUGUCGCUUCGUAUACAGAAAAAAUUUCUUUGUAUACGGCAGAUUUGUCGCGUGCCCGGGAACGAGAACAUCCAAGGCGUGACAGAUUAAGUUUGUAUCAGAGCUUUGCUAUAGGUCGUUAGGACCUAGGAAACCUAAGUUUGGCAAACCUUAGGAAAGCAAGACGCGAGAGGCGUAAUUUAUUGCGAAAGUCAAUGAUUAUUUGUUCUAACUCCUCCUAGAGUUGAGUGAGUGACUGAAGAGUGUCUGUUUUGGCUGAGAAAUUAUGUUGGCUGCAGACGACAUAAUUUUGGAGGGAAACCAGGGACGCCUUCCAGACUUUCGUUGAUUGGGUCAAGAGUGUUUGUGUUUCAACUGACCCCGAUCUAUUCUUGCAGCUAUGUAUCGUGCCGAGGUCGACCGUCGUUGCGAGAGCGUGCCAGUUGGCGCGGGAUCGUGCGGGAUCCCUGAGAGACCUGAGCAGAUGGAGCAGAGUACUCGGCAGGAGCAGGGUGACAGACAGAGGCGAGUGCACCUCGAAUGAGUAGAGCAGAGGGCCGACCGAGGCUAGCGCUCCCUGAUCUUAGUGCACAGUUGGCUGCCCUGACUGAGGUGACGAGGCAGCAGGGGGAGUUAUUGCAGAGGUUGUGUGAGAAGAUAGCUCAGCCACCGAGUUCAGUACCGAGAGUACCAGAGUCGCCAGUUCCACCCCCGAUUACUCCAGUGACCGCACUAGCUGCAGCAGUUCCUCCGUCGGCAGCAGUUCCAGUAGCGCCAGUUGCGUCUGCUAGGGGGCGAGUACCGUUGACUGAGGCCGAGCAGGAGCGCUGGACGGAGAGGUUAGCACGUUUUCGUCGAUUUGACCCACCGAUCUUCGACGACAGAGGCACUGAGGCCUGGAUUGUUGAGGGAUAGGUCAGUGCGAUGGAGAAGUUAUUCAAGAAUCUGUUCGUUCCAGAGUGGGAGCAGGUACCUUUGGGAGUACACUGUCUGUCAGGUGAUGCACAUGAUUAGUGGCGCAGAGCGAGGCGAGACCAGGGACUGGUGGCGACACAGUUGAGGUGGGAUGAGUUCUGUGGAAUGCUGUAUGGGAUGUAUUUCCCCAACAGCAUGAAACAGAAGAUCGAGGAGGAUUUGAAGAGGAUCCAGCAGGGUGAGCGGACAGUUCAGGAGUAUGUUCGGAAGUUUACUAGGCUCCUGAACUGUGUUCCGUUCGUGGCCAGAGACGAGGCACAUAGGGUCUAUUUGUUCGAGCAGGGUUUGAGACCCGACCUAUUCAGGUUCGUUAGAGCGCAGAGGUCGAGGACUUUGGAUGCAUCCAUUGAGCAGGCAUUAUGGGAGGAGAGAGGAGAGGUGUCGCUGCGGGAGAGGGCUCAGGGGCCGGGACAGAGUCAGGACAGGAAGCGCCCAGCUCCAGACGACGGAGGUCAGGCGAGUAGCAGGCUCCCGCCGAGGCCUCCACGAUCGCGUUCGCAGGGUCGAGGAUCCUCGGGGCGUCAGCGAUCUAGGGAUUCUCGUCAGAGGGGACAGCCAGAGAGGAUGCCGUAGUGUGUGAUCUACGGAGGACCACACUGGCCCAGACAGUGCGAGCAGAGGGAGGGCCGGUGCUACGGAUGUGGUCAGCCGGGACACAUGAGGGCAGCUUGUCCUCGAGCAGCAUCUCCAGCACCAUCAUCAGCUUCAGCUCCACCAGCACCUCAGCGGUCAUUCAGAGCAGCACCCAGUUACCGCUAGGAGGAUAGAUCUUCCGUGCCGCGACAGGGUGAGCGGCGACAGCAGGCUCCGAGUGGCAGAGUCUAUGCAGUACAGGUGGAGGACUCUACGGCAGCCGACCGAGUGGUGGCAGGUAUCACUUUGAUUUUCGGCAUUCGUACUCGUACUCUUUUUAAUACUGGAGCCUCGCAUUCUUUUGUUAGCCGAGCAUUUGCAUUGUUGCAUGGUCUAGAGUUAGAGUCCUUAUCGCAGGCACGAGAGGUGCAGAUCCCCGACCAUGUCUUGCAGGUUACAGAGUGUUGUUGGUCCUGUCCGGUGCAGUUAGACUCUUGGGUUAUGCUCGCAGACCUGUUGGUGCUAGGGCAGCUGCAGGACUUCGACGUUGUACUAGGUAUGGAUUGGCUGGCGCGGUACUAUGCUACGAUCGACUGUGGAGCGAGAACGGUGACGUUCCGCGAGCCUGGCCAGGAGGAGUUUACUUUCAGAGGCUGCAGGAGUACGUUGUUUGCCACCUGGAUCUCUUCGGCGAGGGCUCGACAGCUGUUGAGUAGCGGGUGUAUCGCUUUUCUAGCGACUGUUGUGGAGGUACCUACGGCGGUGCCGGGACUCGAGGACAUCCCAGUAGUCCGCGAGUUUCCGGAUGUGUUUCUCCCUGAGUUGACGACGUUGCCGUCGGAGAGGGAGAUUGAGUUUGUGAUUGAUGUAGUUCCGGAAACUGCACCAAUCUCAAAGGUACCUUAUCGGAUGGCGCCGGCAGAGCUGAGAGAGCUAAAGGCACAGCUUCAGGAUUUGAUGGAUAGAGGGUUUGUGAGACCCAGUGUGUCGCCUUGGGGAGCGCCGGUGUUAUUUGUAAAGAAGAAGGAUGGUUCGCUCAGGUUAUGUGUGGAUUACCGGAAGCUGAAUAAGGUGACCAUCAAGAAUAAGUAUCCCUUGCCGCGCAUUGAUGAUUUGUUUGAUCAGCUGCAGGGAUCUUAUGUCUUCUUGAAGAUUGAUCUCCAGUCAGGUUACCACCAGCUGAGGGUGAGGGCCGAGGAUGUUCCCAAGACGGCUUUUCGGACUCGGUACGGGCAUUAUGAGUUCACGGUGAUGCCUUUUGGAUUGACGAAUGCCCCUGCCGCAUUCAUGGAUUUGAUGAACAGAGUGUUCAAGCCGUUCUUUGAUAGGUUUGUGGUAGUCUUCAUAGACGAUAUCCUGAUAUACUCCCGGAGUGAUGCUGAGCAUGAGGAGCACUUGAAGAUUGUGCUACAGCUUCUGCGAGAGAAGAAGCUGUAUGCCAAGUUGAAGAAGUGCGAGUUCUGGCUACGGGAGGUUGCUUUCUUGGGCCACGUAAUUUCAGCCGAGGGCGUAGCAGUGGACCCGAAGAAGAUCGAGGCAAUUCGAGAUUGGCCUAGACCGACGACGGUGACUGAGGUACGGAGCUUCCUGGGACUGGCAGGAUAUUACCGUCGGUUUAUGGAAGGCUUUGCGAAGCUUUCCACACCUCUCACACGCUUGACUCAGAAGGGGAUUCGUUUUGUCUGGAGUGAUGACUGUCAGAGGAGCUUUGACAAGUUGAGACUGAGGUUGACGUCGGCUCCUAUCCUUGCCUUUCCGGUGAUGGAGGAUGGAUUUGUGAUCUACAGUGAUGCAUCGCACAGUGGACUUGGUUGGGUGCUGAUGCAGCAUGGUAGGGUAAUUGCUUAUGCUUCACGGCAAUUAAAGGAUUAUGAAAAGAAUUACCCUACGCAUGACUUGGAGCUUGCCGCGGUGGUUUUUGCUUUGAAGCUCUGGCGGCAUUAUUUGUACCGCGAGCACUGCGAGGUCUUCACCGAUCAUAAAAGUCUCAAGUAUCUGUUCACACAGAGGGAGCUGAACCUGAGACAGCGCCGGUGGUUGGAGUUAUUGAAGGACUAUGACAUUAGUAUUCAGUAUCAUCCUGGCAAGGCGAAUGUGGUGGCAGAUGCGUUGAGCAGGAAGUCAGUGCAGAGCCUGAGUUUGAGGAUUACUGAGCAGAGACCCCUACUCGAGGAGCUACAGCGGCUGGGACUCGAGAUAGUACCCCCUGGGUCUACGGCGAGGCUGACGUCUCUAGUGUUGCAGCCCACUCUGUUGGAUAGGAUCCGAGAGAAACAGAGUGGAGAUCCGUACUUGUUGAGGAUUAGAGAGCAGCUAGACAGGGGGCAGGCUGAGGGAUUUGCUUUGGACAGUUCGGGAGUACUACGGUACAUGGACCGACUGUGUGUGCCCGUGGAUCCUGAGAUUCGAGCGAACAUUCUGAGAGAGGCUCAUUGUUCCCCUUAUACGGUUCACCCUGGGGGAACCAAGAUGUACAAGGAUCUUAAGGCACGGUUUUGGUGGCCUGGAAUGAAGAGAGACAUUGGCAGAUUUGUGGCUCAGUGUUUGACUUGCCAACAGGUGAAGGCCGAGCAUCAGGUGCCUGCUGGUAAGCUUCAGAGUCUGCCAGUGCCCGAGUGGAAGUGGGAGUACAUCACUAUGGACUUUGUCGUUGGAUUGCCUAGAGCGCAGGGUGGCUACGACGCAAUUUGGGUGAUAGUAGACAGACUGACCAAGUCUGCUCACUUCCUACCGUUUCAGACUACCUGGUCCAGAGAGAGACUCGCGCAGCUAUACUUAGAUGAGAUUGUUAGGCUGCACGGCGUGCCAGUGUCGAUUAUAUCAGACAGAGACCCGAGAUUUGUAUCACAUUUCUCGAGGAGUUUGCAGACAGCCUUGGGUACACAGUUGCAUUUUAGCACGGCGUUCCACCCACAGACAGAUGGUCAGUCAGAGCGGACUAUACAGACUCUAGAGGACAUGCUGAGGGCAUGCGUCCUGGAUUUUGGAGGAGGGUGGUAUCGACAUGUGAGACUAGUUGAGUUUGCGUACAACAACAGUUAUCAAACGAGCAUUCAGAUGGCUCCGUUUGAGGCGUUGUAUGGACGCAAAUAUCGAUCCCCCCUGUUUUGGAGUGAUGUGGGUGAGCGGAGGAUACUUGGACCGGAGAUCUUACUUGAGGCUGAGGAAAAAGUGAGAGUCGUCCGACGACACCUUCUGACAGCACAGAGCCGACAGAGGAGCUACGCCGAUACCAGGAGACGAGACUUGGAGUUUCAGGUCGGAGAUCAUGUUUUUCUCAAAGUCUCGUCGUCCAGAGGAUACGCCGAUUUGGAGUACGUGGAAAGCUUAGUCCACGGUUUGUUGGCCCGUUCGAGGUAUUAGAGCGUAUCGGACCGGUGGCUUACAGGAUAGCUCUACCCCCGCGACUUGCUGGCAUCCAUGAUGUUUUCCACGUCUCAGCACUGAGGAGAUACGUUUUCGACCCCUCUCACGUGAUUGACUUCACUCCACUCGAGAUUGGCGAGGAUCUGAGAUACGAGGAGCGACCGUUGCGGAUUCUUGCUCGUGAGACGAAAGUAUUGCGCAACCGGGUCAUUCCGUAUGUGAAAGUGCAGUGGAGCCAUCACGAGAAGCGGGAUGCGACUUCGGAGCCUGAGACGGUGAUGAGGGAAGCUUAUCCCUACCUGUUUGAUGCCUGAGCAGAGGUAUGUUUCAGUUUCGCGGACGAAACUUUUAUAGAAGGGGAGGAUGUGAGAUCCCUUGUGUUCAGCUGUGGAGGCUUGCCGACAGCUCUGGAGAGUGUCGGGACAAGUCCGAGUCGCGUUGGCGUCAAAUAGACGUAAAACGGACUCCGUGCGACGCGAGGGCAGCUUAUAGCGAAGAAAUCUGCAAAACUGCAGAUUUCUCUGCUUGCUGUACUGGUACAACCAGCGUGGCUGUACCGGUACAACCAUCGUGCAGAGGAUUAGCAGCUCUCGGGUUGGCUCUUGUACCGGUACAAGAGCCCGUGUACCGGUACAAGGGGGUAGGUAGAGGGUUAAUUUGGUAAUUCCCUCCCUCAUUUGUUUCACCCCUCACUCCCUUCUAUGUAGCUUCAUGUAGAGAGAGAGAGAGAGAGAGAGGUCUUCUUGAUGCAAUUCUCCCUCUCUCACUCUCACUCUCAUCCAGUUGAAGGCUUAGGAGCUCGGUUGGAGUUUUGUCGCCGACGUCGCGCCGCGAGGCCGUUCGAGCUUGUGUUUGAGGCCGGGGUAGCACGUGGAGGCCGGGCGAGCAGGGAUUUUCGCCAUUCUUGCUGUCACUCGGGUGCUCGGUGUUGUCGAGGUGGGUAUUUCAUUAAUUCCUUGAUUUUUAGGCAAGUGUUUACUAUUUCUACUCGGAUAGUUAUUGUUUGCUGAAAUCCACCGUCGACUGUUAGUAUUUUAGCUCAUUCUCGACGUAGGAGCAUCGGAUUGCGACGAGACUUGGUUCGUUGGAUUCGGGACUUCGAGAGGAAUCCACUAAGCCCUUACCUGUGGUUUUUAGUGAAGGUUAGCUUGGUCGAAACCCUUCUCUUCUCUGCUGCUGUAUUUUUGGACUGAAUUGGGAAUUUUCGACGUUGAUAGCUUCGAGUUAGCGCGAUUCUUGGGUUCGAAGGGCUACGAUCGACCCAGCAGGUGGCGCCACAGCUAUGAGAGUAUACCGCUGCCAGGGGAUACCUUUCGAGGUGGGUUUACAUCGGUUUAUUCCUAAGUACCGUAAUCGUCGACAUGUAUGAUUUUUCAGUUUCGGUAAUCAUGUUGUAGCUUGAUAUUCGUGAUGCUAUCCUUGAUAAAAUCAGUAUUGAGAAUAUGACUAGUAAAUCUUAAAUGUACAUGUUGGACUAGGAUUUGACUUAGGAGAAAACACGAUUGGAAUCGUCAUAUACUUAAACUACCAGAUUUAGCUCUAGGAGCCGUGAUUCGAUUGUAUCGUUGCAGUAGCAGUGCGAUGAAUACCUGGGGUAGUUUAGAAGGCAUUUACGCUCGUGCUGGGAUGCCGAGCUUAUUUUUCAACAGAGUUUAGGCUGUUUCGGGUCGUUCGGUGCCGUUCGGGUUAGCGGUGGACCCAGAUUAUUGUUUUGGUCACAGAUUGUGCCGAGGGCACGGGGGUUUGGUUUGUAGACCUGUUUUGACCCUGUUCACUUGACUUUGGAUAGUUGGAGCCUGAUUGAGCUCGACAGAGAUACGCUGCAUACUCGGUUGGGUAGCGCCCACGAGUGCCACUCCGGAGUCAGGCUUUGUGCUUUCGCGUUUGUGUCGCUCAUGCCAGUUGGACUUGCUCUCCACGGACCAGUUAGUGUGGAUAGAGCCCGAUAGUCGCAACCGGGCAGGGACGGAUGUAUUCACAGUCCCGGGGACGGGUAUGCUUACAGUCCCGGUUGGAUUGGGUCAGAUUUGACAUUUCCUACAGUUGGUUAGUGUAGAGCAUGAUAGUGUAGUGAUCGAUAGCGGUAGAGUUACUUCAUGCUUUUCUGACUACUCUCGCUCCCUUCUGUAGACUUAGUGGGUGGACC
rnacentral:lncRNA from 1 species